GUAAAGAAAAUGGGAUGAGAGCAGGAAACAUUGUAGCAAUCCUUGAAAAACCUAUCCAGUUUCAAAGCUGCCAAUCAGGCUAGAACUGAACGCUAGCGUUACUUGAGGAUGCUGUAGCUUCAUUCUAGGUUAUGGCAAGUAAGUUUGCUACACACAAUGUUUUAUCACUGAAAAUUUGCAACUGCUGCUCUGUGCACACGAGAGAUUUUAGAAAAAUUCCUGAUCAUUUUCGCUCAUGGGCUGUUAACUUAAGGAGCCUAAGGAAAUUACACUGUCAAAAAAGUCAAGUUUCUGCUUAGUUACAAAAAAACACUUGCUCCUCAAUACAUGCUGGACUGCCACACAAAUUCUUAUAAAACAUACUGCAACAUCCCUAGAGUGUCACAAGAUGGCAGGAUUACGCUGACAUUGAAAACACCUACAUAUUUGUGCUUUAGGGAAUUCAGGAACACAGCUGUGCAAUGCAUGCUCCCAAAGUUUUUGCCCACAUUCUGCCCAUGUUGUUCUAUGCGCACAUUCCUAAAGUGUAAGAGUCAGCUGGAAAGCCAGCUUGCCUUUCUUCCUCUCCCUAGUCCUAUUCACUAACAGUUCUGUUAAGGUUCCCCCUCUUUCAAACAUCCACACAACUAUCCUUGAUGUCUUGCAUGGCCUGGACUCUAGGAGAGCACUGCACCUUAAUUUUGUCCAACAGCAAGCUUGAAUUAAGUAUGGGAAAAAACCCACGACACAGACCACCCAGCCGAAAGAGCUGCUGAUUCCAGACUUCCCCUGCGGCUCACAUAUAUGAUUGUAACUAGUGGAUCAAAGUUAAUUCUAAAGUAGUUAGCUCAGGUGAUUCUGCUCUAAGGGUUCAAUAUAGGGUGCAGAAAUCCUUCAAGGAUUCAGCACAGCCAUGCAUGCCAUUAGCCACAUUGAAUCCCAAUCUCCUGUUAGCUGUACAGGGCUACUCCAGAGGAAAAAGAAAUCACAUCUUCAUAUUUUACCACAAAUAUCCCCACUCAAGUCCAAGAAAGGGACCUGAAUGCCAAGCCCAAAGGGCUUUGAAUUAAGAUGAAAUUCUAAUUCAAAUCAAACCCAUGUCCCAAGCAACCUCAUGAGAGAGGGAGAGGGAAAAUGAGAGCUUUCUCUUUUAAUAGCUAAAGCUGUUCAAUUGUCUCAGCCACUGAUCAUGAAAACACAGCAUAUGUGACUUGGCCCAGGUAGGCAGGAAAUGUGUAGCAAACUAGGAACUUCAUCAAGGGUUUCCAAAUUUCCAGGCAUAUAGCAUAAGUACCUUUCUUUUACCACCGCAUAACCCAUCAAAAACAUCACACCUCCAGUUUUAUCUCCUUUUGGUCUGUCUCCAAAAAAGUGCCAUGCGAUGAGCAGUGGAAGAAAAGGGAGCUGAUGAGACAUCUGUUCUGUAACACCAUUCUGAAGUGGGAAGGAAAACCUAUUCAGCAUCUGGCAAGGAUACAGUACUUGACUAUGGUGCAAGGGGCCAGUGGCCGUGUGGGGGAUUCUGAGGAAAGACUGCUGAUCCUGUUUCCAGAAGAUCUGCUUUUCCUCUCUGUAGUUAAGGAGAGAACUGCAAUCACUUACGAGUUAAGUAACAGAGGGGAUAGAGAAAACGGUCAAAGAAACAAAGAGCUGAGAGGAGCUGGAUCUAGUGAGCAACUGUGGGAGACAAAAAAAAGUCUGAAUAUUAAGGACAAAAAGGAGAAGUCUGAGGAAAAUAUAAAAGCAUUGUUUUUCUUUUCUUUUUUGAAGGGAAAGCUCCCCCUAACUGGAAUCCAGGCAAAGGAGAAAUCAGCUAUGCUGAGAAGGUUGCGGUUUGAAGUUACAGGAAGCCUGACAGAACCUAUCCUUAUCACCUGUUCCACAGCAGAGGAUUAUGAAAAAAUGCCUCUUCCACCUACAGACGGUAUUGGUCAGAGAACUUUACUGCAGCAAUAUCUCUUCUCAAGCCUGGGACUUUCCCAGCCACACAUAGAUUCAUCCAAACUGUAUGUUCCUCCCAAAUUAUCUUCUCCUUUUCCUCAAAAGACUUGGGUAGGGAGUUCUCUUCAAGCUCAUCUUUCUCCUGACAGGACUCAGCACCGAGUCCCACAAAACAUUGGGGAAUAAAAUAUCAGCAGGCAUAAGAAAAACAAAAAAGAAGAAAAUUCCCUCAGCAGACUGAAUUUGGGCCCUACUGGGCAGAAAACAUCUCUAUCUUUCACUGUUAGAGAAGGUAUACUGAAGCACCUAGUUUUCAUUGAUUUCAAUGUAAAUUAAAUAUUGAAAUAAGCAGGACUACUGAGGAGAGGAGGCAAGUUGUUAGGGCAGUUUGCCCUAUUUCAUGAAGCUGGAGAGACAGAUUAUAUCACACUACACCUUAAAAUACCAAUGAUCGCACUACCAGUUUAUGACUGAAUUCCUUGCAUCCUCCCAUAGCCAUGCAAAGUGGAGAUAGCCUCCUUCAAAGUAGGACCUUAUCUAGGUCCUAGCUUGCAGAGUCUAUCAUUUUCCCUUGGCCAGGAUAUACAACAGACCCAGCACAGAGGCUUAUGUAUAACCCUAUCUGGGCUCAGAGAAGAAGGAAGGUGAAUCAGGAGUGGAUGUUUUGAAAGCAGAAGAGAUGUUGGGCUCUGAGUAUUAAUCAAUAUGGCUAUUCUUUAGUUGAGCAUGGCUAUAUUUAUCUGGCAUGUAAAGUUCUUGGCAGAAUUAGUAUGUUCAUGUGCAGUAAAUAUGUUCCAGCCAGAGGAAAACCUUGAUUCUCUGACUCUUCAACCACCACCUAUCAUCCCUAAGAAAUCUGGGUGGUAUCAGAAGUAGGACAUUAGCAUGGAGUGACAACAAGAAGGGUGUGUCAGAUACAACACCAACAGAAAGUGAAGAAGCUACAAGAAUGAGUCCCUUAUUGGCAAAGCAAGGGUGGACCUGAAAUUGGAAUCAAAGCUUCUUUCGGACUGAGAGGGUGAAUAAGGGCCUGCACAUGAACUGCUCUCCACUGACAGCUGUGCUGAAUAGGCCAUUGUAAUCAGUACAGAAUCUUGUGGGUUUGACCUCAGCUGCACAACUGUCUUAAGGAGAAAUUUUUCCCAAUCUGCCUACUAUAUUUAUUGCCUGAUUCUUCUCAGAAAAAGAAACAUUGUAAAAUACUGUGUAAGUACUAUGAAUAAAACCCUUUAU